CCUACGGGUGGCUGCAGUGGGGAAUCUUGCACAAUGGGGGGAACCCUGAUGCAGCGACGCCGCGUGGGUGAAGGAGUGCUUCGGCAUGUAAAGCCCUAUCGGCAGGGAAGAAGCAAGACGAUACCUGACUAAGAAGCCCCGGCUAACUACGUGCCAGCAGCCGCGGUAAUACGUAGGGGUCGAGCGUUAUCCGGAUUCACUGGGUGUAACGGGAGCGUAGACGGCCAUGCAAGCCAGGGGUGAAAGCCCGGGGCCCAACCCCGGGACUGCCCUUGGAACUGUUCGGCUAGAGUGCGGGAGGGGCAGGCGGAAUUCCUGGUGUAGCGGUGAAAUGCGUAGAUAUCAGGAGGAACACCGGCGGCGAAGGCGGCCUGCUGGACCGCGACUGACGUUGAGGCUCGAAAGCGUGGGGAGCGAACAGGAUUAGAUACCCGGGUAGUC
rnacentral:rRNA from 1 species